rnacentral:ncRNA from 1 species
AUUCGUGCUCCGGGGUCGGUGUAAGUCCGAACCGGCGGUGACAGUCCGCGACCCGUCGCAGCAAUGCGACGGUUGAUCCGGUGAAACUCCGGAACCGACGGUGAAAGUCCGGAUGGGAGGCAGCACGGGC